ensembl:snRNA LOC120101209 U6 spliceosomal RNA
UUUCACUUCAGCAGCAAAUAUACUAGAACUGGAACAAUGCAGAGAAGAUUAUCAUGGUCCCUGUCAAAGGUAGCUUGCAUAUUCAUAAAAUGUCCCAUAGCUAA